GGAUAUGAGGGCGAUCUGGCUGCAACAUCUGUCACCCCGUUGAUCACCAGGGUCGAUUCGGCUGAUCUGGCUGGCUAGGCGCGCGUCCCCUUCCUCCCUCACCGCCCCACGUGCGUCCCUCCUGAAGCUGCGUGCCGCACUCCGUUGAAGAGGACGGCCUGCCCCGAAUCGAGGAGGACCGGGCUUCAGUCAGGGUAUAUGAGUAGCUGUGCUUCCCUGCUAGAACUGAGAGAGAGAGAGAGAGAGAGAUUGAGAGAGAAUGGGUGUGCCAGGGCCUCUUGCUACUGCAAAGGAACUCCAGACACAUGUGCCACUUUGUGCAUCUGGCUUUACGU
rnacentral:snRNA from 1 species